rnacentral:lncRNA from 1 species
GCUGACCGAGUCCGGCGCCGUUUCCGCCGUCCUCAAGUGCGUUGACUCGGAAGAGCCCCGCCUCCAGGAAAAGGCGCUGACUUUGCUGCUCAAUGUUAGCUUGGACGACGAUAACAAAGUGGGUCUUGUCGCCGAGGGAGCAAUCGCUCGAAUCGUGGAGGUGCUCCAAGGUGGGUCCCCCAACAGCCGCGCCGUGGCGGCGACGAUGUUGACUAGCUUGGCGGUGGUGGAGGUCAACAAGGCCACAAUCGGGGCAUACCCGUGUGCAAUUCGGGCUCUGGUUUCGCUUCUCAGGGACGGCAAGAGUCGAGAGCAGAAGGAGGCGGCGACGGCGCUUUACACCAUCUGUUUGUUCCCGG